AAACUUCUCAAAACCAUAUUGUCAGUAUGACAUGUGGCUUUUGGACAAUGGGGGUAUUUUUCUUUUGUGGGCUUUGAAUGAGAAGUCUGCUCCCCUGAAAUGUAUUAGUGGUAUCUGAGGGGAAACUACUCUGGGCAUGAUAAAAUCUGUCUAUGUCUUUCUAAUAGUUUCUCCAAUAUGGACGCUGAAAAAUUGUGUUGGGCUUUACUGUUG
rnacentral:misc_RNA from 1 species